CCUACGGGUGGCAGCAGUGGGGAAUAUUGGGCAAUGGAGGCAACUCUGACCCAGCAAUGCCGCGUGAGUGAUGAAGGUAAUUUUAUUGUAAAGCUCUUUUCUUUGGAACGAAUAAAUGACGGUACCAAAGGAAUAAGCCCCGGCUAACUACGUGCCAGCAGCCGCGGUAAUACGUAGGGGGCAAGCGUUAUCCGGAUUUACUGGGUGUAAAGGGAGCGUAGACGGCAUGGGAAGUCUGAAGUGAAAGCCCGGGGCUCAACCACGGGACUGCUUUGGAAACUGUUAAGCUGGUGUGCAGGAGAGGUAAGUGGAAUGCCUAGUGUAGCGGUGAAAUGCGUAGAUAUUAGGAGGAACACCAGUGGCGAAGGCGGCUUACUGGACUGUAACUGACGUUGAGGCUCGAAAGCGUGGGGAGCAAACAGGAUUAGAUACCCGAGUAGUC
rnacentral:rRNA from 1 species